GGAUGAACGCUGGCGGCGUGCCUAAUACAUGCAAGUCGAGCGAACAGACGAGGAGCUUGCUCCUCUGACGUUAGCGGCGGACGGGUGAGUAACACGUGGAUAACCUACCUAUAAGACUGGGAUAACUUCGGGAAACCGGAGCUAAUACCGGAUAAUAUAUUGAACCGCAUGGUUCAAUAGUGAAAGACGGUUUUGCUGUCACUUAUAGAUGGAUCCGCGCCGCAUUAGCUAGUUGGUAAGGUAACGGCUUACCAAGGCAACGAUGCGUAGCCGACUUGAGAGGGUGAUCGGCCACACUGGAACUGAGACACGGUCCAGACUCCUACGGGAGGCAGCAGUAGGGAAUCUUCCGCAAUGGGCGAAAGCCUGACGGAGCAACGCCGCGUGAGUGAUGAAGGUCUUCGGAUCGUAAAACUCUGUUAUUAGGGAAGAACAAAUGUGUAAGUAACUAUGCACGUCUUGACGGUACCUAAUCAGAAAGCCACGGCUAACUACGUG
rnacentral:rRNA from 1 species